rnacentral:miRNA from 1 species
UGGGUGAGGAGGGCGAGG